AUGUCGCCGACAUCGCUCCCACCAUCAUCGUUGCCACAGAAGCCUAGUCGCCAUAGUGAUCCUCUCAGGGCCGCCGCCCUGACAUCCACCGCUCCGUCGCGCCCAGCGCACUCCACCGGCACCGCCUUCCGGGCUGCCGCCCCAACAUACCACCGCUCCCCUCGAGCAGCAACGCCGCACAACCCAGCUGCCUGCAGCCCACGCUGCUCAGUGCAACCGCUCGCAGACCACAAACGUCGCACCACAUCCGAGGUCGCCGCCCCGACAUAA
rnacentral:rRNA from 1 species